rnacentral:lncRNA from 10 species
CUGCUUCAGUGGGUGUUGGAGCCUGAGAUUCUGGCUUUCUAACAAGCUCCCAGGUAAGUGCUGAUGCUGCUGCUUUGAGGGCCACACACCUUGAGGAGUAGGAAGAGUACUCAUACUGGAAGAGUAUUCAGCACGGACUGGAAUCCUGCAUACAUAUCUGAGCUCUGUGUUCUGUAGAGAUGGGGUUUCACCAUGUUGCCCAGGCUGGUCUCAAACUCCUGAGCUCAGGCCAUCUGCCCGCCUCGGCCUCCCAAAGUGCUAGGAUUACAGGUUUCUCUUAUUGCCUGGAUCCAAGAGCAUCUCCUGGGUUCUUCCUGUUAGAAUACUGAAUGUCCAUGGAGAGUUUAACAUAAGGAAGAAGAGGCCUGUCUCCCAGCUGAAACUGGUGCAGCAGAUCAUGCAAAGUAAAACCUCAGCAGCUGUGAUGAAGUAGAGCAGAGGGCCUGGGUGUCUGUCAGCUCCAAGCGGAAGAUUUCCCCAGCUUUCUAGGUAACUGUGCUUCCACUGAGCAAGCCAGACACAGACUUGAAUGUCAUCACAAUCUGUGCCUGUGACAUCUUUCCCCAAGAAUAGCACAAAUUGAACUUUUACAUUCUUCAUAAUAUGGAAGGAAAGGUAUUGACUGAGCCACUUCUUUAUGCCUCAAGACAUCUCAUAUGUAUUUAUAUGGAUACAUACAUGAAUGUAUAUAUUCUGUCAUAAUAACAUAUUCUAUUUUUCUUAUUAUAGCACAGUGUUAGGAUAGGCUACAUAGGCUGCAUUAAACCCUCAAAUAGAAGU